CCGCGGACGGGUGAGUAACACGUGGAUAACCUACCUAUAAGACUGGGAUAACUUCGGGAAACCGGAGCUAAUACCGGAUAAUAUAUUGAACCGCAUGGUUCAAUAGUGAAAGACGGUUUUGCUGUCACUUAUAGAUGGAUCCGCGCCGCAUUAGCUAGUUGGUAAGGUAACGGCUUACCAAGGCAACGAUGCGUAGCCGACCUGAGAGGGUGAUCGGCCACACUGGAACUGAGACACGGUCCAG
rnacentral:rRNA from 1 species